CAGCGCCACGGUAAUACGAAGGGUGCAAGCGUUAAUCGGAAUUACUGGGCGUAAAGCGUGCGUAGGUGGUGGUUUAAGUCCGUUGUGAAAGCCCUGGGCUCAACCUGGGAAUUGCAGUGGAUACUGGGUCACUAGAGUGUGGUAGAGGAUAGUGGAAUUUCCGGUGUAGCAGUGAAAUGCGUAGAGAUCGGGAGGAACAUCAGUGGCGAAGGCGGCCAUCUGGGACAACACUGACGCUGAGGCACGAAAGCGUGGGGAGCAAACAGGAUUAGAUACCCGUGUAGUCCCUGUCUCUUAUACA
rnacentral:rRNA from 1 species